AUACGAAGGGGGCUAGCGUUGUUCGGAAUUACUGGGCGUAAAGCGCGCGUAGGCGGAUUGGUCAGUUAGGGGUGAAAUCCCAGGGCUUAACCCUGGAACUGCCUCUAAUACUGCCAGUCUUGUGUUCGGGAGAGGUGAGUGGAAUUCCUAGUGUAGAGGUGAAAUUCGUAGAUAUUAGGAAGAACACCAGUGGCGGAGGCGGCUCACUGGCCCGAUACUGACGCUGAGGCGCGAAAGCGUGGGGAGCAAACAGGAUUAGAAACCCUAGUAGUCC
rnacentral:rRNA from 1 species